AUACGGAGGGUGCAAGCGUUAUCCGGAAUCAUUGGGUUUAAAGGGUCCGUAGGCGGAUUGGUAAGUCAGUGGUGAAAGUCUGCAGCUUAACUGUAGAAUUGCCAUUGAUACUGCUAGUCUUGAAUUGCUGUGAAGUGAUUAGAAUGUGUAGUGUAGCGGUGAAAUGCAUAGAUAUUACACAGAAUACCAAUUGCGAAGGCAGAUCACUAACAGUAUAUUGACGCUGAGGGACGAAAGCGUGGGGAGCGAACAGGAUUAGAAACCCUAGUAGUCC
rnacentral:rRNA from 1 species